AGCAUUGGUAUCAAGGCAAAGUACAUGUAGUCGAUGGUAUCAUUAAGUCCAUUUCUUGAUAUUGAUAUGACCAUGAUCUUGAUAUUACCAAACAAUGAUGCACGCCCACGUCGGUUGAUGCUCACCAUAAUACUGAUAAAAUGUUCUUUUGUAUCAGAUACCAACAUAGCUAAAUUGCAAGCCAAGAACAGUGCUGUGUACAGUUGAACGAAAGUCAAUUUUACUACUUUCAAUUUGCUCGAUAGCGACUCCGUAAUUUAGAUCUUCUUUGUAGAAAUGCAACAUUUAUGUCAUAAAUAGUACUAAGUUUUCUGUUCA